UUGGAGGGCAAGUCUGGUGCCAGCAGCCGCGGUAAUUCCAGCUCCAAUAGCGUAUAUUAAAGUUGUUGCAGUUAAAAAGUUCGUAGUUGAAUUUCGGGUUAGUAGGCAGGUUAUAUGGAACUCGCGUCUGCAGGUUUAUGUAACUGGUCUUACUAAUUCCUCCUUCCUGAUGAACUGUAGUGCCAUUAAUUUGGUGUUGCAGGGAAUCUGGACUGUUACUUUGAAAAAAUUAGAGUGUUUAAAGCAGGC
rnacentral:rRNA from 1 species